ensembl:lncRNA
ACAUGAUGGGCGAGAGCGGUUGGCUGUCUUAGUGUGUAAUGGAGAGAGAGAUGGCAGGGGGGAGGCUUUUCAUCUGUUGGCUUCUACAUUGACGGACUGUGACGUCUAUCCUCUCCAUCCCUCCAUCCAACACUGAGAAACAAAGCGGAAAAAACGAGAAAGAGAGGGGGAGCAAGAGAGAAAGCGAGACUGAUAGUCGAAGAUAGAGAAGUUCCCAGUUGUCUUGAAAGCACCAUAAAUCCAGAGAACGCUAGACUUUGAUGACAAAGUUUGAUGAAAAAAAUUGCCCACAAGAAGGACCACCUGCACCGCAUUCCAUUUUAAGGGAGAGCAGCACAAGAAUUGAAAGCAGCAGGUGUGUGUAACUAGAUGUGACCUGGAACUUCCUUC